rnacentral:rRNA from 1 species
CCUACGAGUGGCAGCAGUGGGGAAUAUUGCACAAUGGGGGAAACCCUGAUGCAGCGACGCCGCGUGAGUGAAGAAGUAAUUCGUUAUGUAAAGCUCUAUCAGCAGGGAAGAAAAUGACGGUACCUGAGUCAGAAUCCCCGGCUAACUACGUGCAAGCAGCCGCGGUAAUACGUAGGGGGCAAGCGUUAUCCGGAUUUACUGGGUGUAAAGGGAGCGUAGACGGGUGGCCAAGUCUGGAGUGAAAUGCCGCGGCUCAACUGCGGAACUGCUUUGGAAACUGGCGAACUAGAGUGCAGGAGGGGUAAGCGGAAUUCCUAGUGUAGCGGUGAAAUGCGUAGAUAUUAGGAGGAACACCGGUGGCGAAGGCGGCUUACUGGACUGUAACUGACGUUGAGGCUCGAAAGCGUGGGGAGCAAACAGGAUUAGAUACCCUUGUAGUC